rnacentral:rRNA from 1 species
UUGACCUCNGAUCAGGUAGGGUUACCCGCU